rnacentral:lncRNA from 1 species
UUCCCACCAAUUCAUAGUUUGGAACUCCACUUAAUGAGGGAAAUCAAUCUCACCCAGCUUGUCCUGUGCUAUAAACAUUUACUGCAGCAAUCCAAUACUUAAGUGCCUAUUGGAGUAUGGAUGCAGCAGCACUCUUUUUUGUUGUUAGGUUAGUUUUCGGUCAUUCAAAUACCCUUAUGCUACUCCAAUCUCCUGGCGAUUCCACUUCAAGGUGUUUCCUUGAGAAUCGCCUAGAAUUGUUUAUUAAGGUAUAAGCCUCAAAACAUUAAGCAAUCUAGUCUUUGAUUGGACAUAUUUGAAGUGGUACAGACACAAAUAGUGGUUUCCAAUUUCCUCUCCACAAAUUAGAAUGAUCCGUGUUCCAAAUGACCUUGUAGUAUGGCUUGUGGCUACUUCUUGCCUUCCAAAUUUCAAACUUCUUGUUGCUCCAUUUUAAUAUUUGAUUGGUUUUAAUCUUGCUGACGACUGAUGUGAAUUUCCUGAUUCUUCGUUCUAGUAUUAGAUUUUGUGACAUGUUGAAAUUUGUCAUUUUCAUAAAAUUCCCUCUUGUUUGAUUGUUAUGUCAUGAGUGUCAGAUGCCAUUGAGGCAUCAUAAGUGAUAUUCCCAUUCUUGAUGUGUCCAAAUCAAGGUUCUAUUUAAUCUGCUCAACCUUUUUCUUGGUAACUCUGUAUUUUAAAGUGCCAACUUCUCAAAGAAAAUAAAAGCAUGUCGUUUCUACAAGUUCAAGUUAGCUGUUUUCAAGUCCUUUAAGUAAUGAUAGAUGAGAACUUACAAUUUAGAAUCCUUCUACAAGUUUAAGUUAGCCAUUUUCUAGUCCUUUAAGUACUUAUAGAUGUGAAAUUACAAUUUAGGAUCCUUCCCUCUUGCCUUUUUGUUUUUAAGAAAAAUGGAAUAUAUAUGCUAGCUUGUCUGGAAACUGCAAAACAGCAGAAAUCAUUGAAUGAUAUUGUCAGCAUGACAUUUGAUAAAGAAGAUGCUAUCAUAGAACUUACGUGUUUUAGAUAAGAAUGACCAUAAGCUGGAUACCCUGCAUCGCUAUUGAACAAUGUUGGAAUUUGUCAUCUUCUGCCAGAGCUAUGCCCAUAAUUGAUUACACCAGUACAUUUUUUAUGUAUAGAAUUGAAAUACUAUAGAAAUCAAAUAUUGAAUUAUGUUUUUCUCAUUAUUCUCUAUCACUUCAUCUUUCGUUCAAGGCUGAUUUUUGGACUGUUUUGUUUUCUGUUUCUUGUUUUUGUUUUUUCUGCUCUCCCUGUAUACCAUCAGUGUACUGGGGCUGCCCUCAUUUUUUCUAGGUGCUCUUAAUACCAUUUUUUAUUUACCUAUCAAAAACAAAUGUCACCAUGAUUCACCAUGAUAUUCCCCUGUGGUUUUGAUGCUUUCUUUUUUAGCUUCCUUUUCUUUUUAAAAACAUGGAAAAAAAUUUCCAAGCAAGUUAUGAAUUUGGUCAUUGGCUUAAACUCCACGUCAUGAAAGUGGAAUUGAUUUCUGGAAGUUUUGGUCGAAAGCUGGGGGGUUAGAAGUUCAAACAACAGGUAGCAUCGGCAUGGGCUUU